GGGAAAUCAGGGUGCGACUCCCUGGCUGUGCCGCAACCGUAAAGCCGGAAAACC
rnacentral:ncRNA from 17 species